AUGCUUGCUUCGGCAGCACAUAUACUGAAACUGGAAUGACAUAGGGAAGAUUAACAUGGCCCCUGCAUAAGAAUGACACACAAAUUCAUGAAGCAUUCCAUGUUUUU
ensembl:snRNA U6 U6 spliceosomal RNA